CCUACGGGAGGCAGCAGUAGGGAAUUUUCGGCAAUGGGGGGAACCCUGAUCGAGCAACGCCGCGUGAACGAAGAAGUUAUUCGUAAUGUAAAGUUCUUUUAACAGGGAAGAAAGAGAAAUUUGACGGUACCUGAAGAAUAAGCUCCGGCUAACUACGUGCCAGCAGCCGCGGUAAUACGUAGGGAGCGAGCGUUAUCCGGAAUUAUUGGGCGUAAAGGGUAGGUAGAUGGCAUAGUAAGUCUUUGGUAAAAAUGCUGGGUUCAACCCAGUAGGGCAAAAGAUACUGCAAAGCUAGAGUAUGACAGAGGCAAGUGGAACUACAUGUGUAGCGGUAAAAGGCGUAAAUAUAUGUAAGAACACCAGUGGCGAAGGCGGCUUGCUGGGUCGAUACUGACAUUGAGGCACGAAAGCGUGGGGAGCAAACAGGAUUAGAUACCCGGGUAGUC
rnacentral:rRNA from 1 species